GCUUAAUGGUUACAGCUUCUGCCUCACAAGCAGAAGAUUCAGGGAUCAAAUCCCGG
rnacentral:tRNA from 1 species